GCAUUGGUAGUGCAGUGAUAGAACUUUCACCUUCCAUGUGGAAGACCCAGGUUCGAUUCUCAGCCAAUGCA
rnacentral:tRNA from 1 species